UACGAAGGGGGCUAGCGUUGCUCGGAAUCACUGGGCGUAAAGCGCACGUAGCGGUUCUUAAGUCAGGGUGAAAUCCUGGAGCUCAACUCCAGAACUGCCUUUGAUACUGGGAAUCUCGAGUCCGGGAGAGGUGAGUGGAACUGCGAGUGUAGAGGUGAAAUUCGUAGAUAUUCGCAAGAACACCAGUGGCGAAGGCGGCUCACUGGCCCGGUACUGACGCUGAGGUGCGAAAGCGUGGGAGCAAACAGG
rnacentral:rRNA from 1 species